GGGCGUUAGCCCGGUAUCGAAGGAACAGCGCCUAACUUUUAAUCAGAGGGUCGGAGGUUCGAAUCCUCCACGACCCACCA
rnacentral:tRNA from 1 species